GGUUCAGAACGUCGUGAGACAGUUCGGUCCCUAUCCGUCGCGGGCGUUGGAAAUUUGAGAGGAGCUGUCCUUAGUACGAGAGGACCGGGAUGGACUUACCGCUGGUGUACCAGUUGUUCUGCCAAGGGCAUUGCUGGGUAGCUAUGUAGGGAAGGGAUAAACGCUGAAAGCAUCUAAGUGUGAAGCCCACCUCAAGAUGAGAUUUCCCAUUUCUUUAAGAAAGUAAGACCCCUGAGAGAUGAUCAGGUAGAUAGGUUGGAAGUGGAAGGCUAGUGAUAGUUGGAGCGGACCAAUACUAAUCGGUCGAGGACUUAACCAAA
rnacentral:rRNA from 1 species